UGAGGAAUAUUGGUCAAUGGGCGAGAGCCUGAACCAGCCAAGUAGCGUGAAGGAUGAAGGUCCUACGGAUUGUAAACUUCUUUUAUACGGGAAUAAAGUAUCCUACGUGUAGGAUUUUGUAUGUACCGUAUGAAUAAGCAUCGGCUAACUCCGUGCCAGCAGCCGCGGUAAUACGGAGGAUGCGAGCGUUAUCCGGAUUUAUUGGGUUUAAAGGGAGCGCAGACGGGAGAUUAAGUCAGUUGUGAAAGUUUGCGGCUCAACCGUAAAAUUGCAGUUGAUACUGGUUUCCUUGAGUGCAGUUGAGGCAGGCGGAAUUCGUGGUGUAGCGGUGAAAUGCUUAGAUAUCACGAAGAACCCCGAUUGCGAAGGCAGCUUGCUAAACUGUAACUGACGUUCAUGCUCGAAAGUGUGGGUAUCAAACAGG
rnacentral:rRNA from 1 species